rnacentral:rRNA from 1 species
GACGAACGCUGGCGGCGUGCUUAACACAUGCAAGUCGAACGGUAAGGCCCCAGCUUGCUGGGUUACACGAUUGGCGCACGGGUGAGUAACACGUGGGGGACCUGCCCCUCACUGCGUGAGAAGCCUGGGAGACUCGGUCUCAUACCGGGUAUGACCGCACCGUGAGGGUGGGUUGGAAAUUUUUGCGGGGUGUGAUGGGCCCGCUGCCUAUCAGCUUGUUGGUGGGGGAAUGGACUACCAAGGCGGCGUCGGGUAGCCGGCCUGAGAGGGUGGACGGCCACAUGGGGACUGAGACACGGCCCAGAAUCCUACGGGAGGCAGCAGUGGGGAAUAUUGCACAAUGGGCGGAAGCCUGAUGCAGCGAUGCCGCGUGGGGGAUGACGGCCUUCGGGUUGUAAACUCCUUUCACCAUAGACGAAGGUUUUCUGACGGUAGAUGGAGAAGAAGCAACGGCUAACUACGUG